AUGAAGUCGGAAUUGCUAGUAAUCGCGGAUCAGCAUGCCGCGGUGAAUACGUUCCCGGGCCUUGUACACACCGCCCGUCACACCAUGGGAGUCGGUAACACCCGAAGCCUGUAGUCUAACCGCAAGGGGGACGCAGUCGAAGGUGGGAUUGAUGACUGGGGUGAAGUCGUAACAAGGUAAC
rnacentral:rRNA from 1 species